rnacentral:rRNA from 1 species
UACAGAGGGUGCGAGCGUUAAUCGGAAUUACUGGGCGUAAAGCGUGCGUAGACGGCUAUUUAAGUCGGGUGUGAAAGCCCCGGGCUCAACCUGGGAAUUGCAUUCGAGACUGAGUAGCUAGGGUGCGGUAGAGGGAAGCGGAAUUUCCGGUGUAGCGGUGAAAUGCGUAGAUAUCCGGAGGAACACCGGUGGCGAAGGCGGCUUCCUGGACCGACACUGACGCUGAGGCGCGAAAGCUAGGGGAGCAAACGGG